rnacentral:rRNA from 1 species
GAUGAACGCUGGCGGCGUGCCUAAUACAUGCAAGUCGAGCGAACAGACGAGGAGCUUGCUCCUCUGACGUUAGCGGCGGACGGGUGAGUAACACGUGGAUAACCUACCUAUAAGGCUGGGAUAACUUCGGGAAACCGGAGCUAAUACCGGAUAAUAUAUUGAACCGCAUGGUUCAAUAGUGAAAGACGGUUUUGCUGUCACUUAUAGAUGGAUCCGCGCCGCAUUAGCUAGUUGGUAAGGUAACGGCUUACCAAGGCAACGAUGCGUAGCCGGCCUGAGAGGGUGAUCGGCCACACUGGAACUGAGACACGGUCCAGACUCCUACGGGAGGCAGCAGUAGGGAAUCUUCCGCAAUGGGCGAAAGCCUGACGGAGCAACGCCGCGUGAGUGAUGAAGGUCUUCGGAUCGUAAAACUCUGUUAUUAGGGAAGAACAAAUGUGUAAGUAACUAUGCACGUCUUGACGGUACCUAAUCAGAAAGCCACGGCUAACUACGUG